AGCAGUGGGGGAAUUUUGGACAAUGGGGGGCAACCCUGAUCCAGCCAUUCCGCGUGAGUGAAGAAGGCCUUCGGUUGUAAGACUCUUUCAGCAGGAACGAAACGGUGGUCCCUAAUACGGGCUACUAAUGACGGUACCUGAAGAAGAAGCACCGGCUAACUACGUGCCAGCAGCCGCGGUAAUACGUAGGGUGCGAGCGUUAAUCGGAAUUACUGGGCGUAAAGCGUGCGCAGGCGGUUAUAUAAGACAGAUGUGAAAUCCCCGGGCUUAACCUGGGAACUGCGUUUGUGACUGUAUAACUCGAGUGUGGCAGAGGGGGGUGGAAUUCCACGUGUAGCAGUGAAAUGCGUAGAGAUGUGGAGGAACACCGAUGGCGAAGGCAGCCCCCCUGGGUCAACACUGACGCUCAUGCACGAAAGCGUGGGGAGCAAACAGGA
rnacentral:rRNA from 1 species